rnacentral:rRNA from 1 species
ACGGGGGAUGCAAGCGUUAUCCGGAAUUAUUGGGCGUAAAGAGUCCGUAGGUGGUCAUGCAAGUCUGCUGUCAAAGCCCACAGCUUAACUGUGGAUAGGCGGUGGAAACUGCGUGACUUGAGUGCGGUAGGGGUAGAGGGAAUUCCCAGUGUAGCGGUGAAAUGCGUAGAUAUUGGGAAGAACACCGGUGGCGAAAGCGCUCUACUGGACCGUAACUGACACUGAGGGACGAAAGCCAAGGUAGCGAAAGGGAUUAGAUACCCCUGUAGUCUUGGCCGUAAACGAUGGAUACUAGGCGUUGUCUGUAUCGACCCGGACAGUGCCGAAGCUAACGCGUUAAGUAUCCCGCCUGGGGAGUACGCACGCAAGUGUG